GUCAAGCCGUAUCCAGGCAGCUCAGCCUUCUUCUUGCCAGCUGCAUUAUUCCCCUUGGCCUGGCACAAAUGAAGGAGACUUUGAUGAACUAUGAGCGGCCACUGCCGUGGAGGGGAGGCUGAGAGACCAGGAGUCAAGGUGCUGUUCCAAGGUACUUCUUCUGCCUUAUCUCUGAGAUCACUGCUUCAAGGGAAGGAAUGAUCAAAACCCUUGGGCAAGGGUGAGCUGAAGGGGAUUCAUCCUGAGAAGCAACACCUGAAGGAGAAGUGAUGGGAAGCCGGCUCCUGACGGCAGAGCCCUUCAAACUUCCAAAUGCUAUGGUGAGAAGGAGCUUGGGGAUCCACCAUUACGAACCUCUCAAAUGCCCAAAUGCCUCUAGGCCUCUAGAAGGAGCUGUGGCAGUCAGCGGUCAGACAGAAACAAUUCAGAGGGUUAUGAGAAAAAGCAAGGAGGGUCACCAUGGCACAGUAGCUCUUCCUUCGGACAAAAACAAAGGGACCCUGGGACAGCCUGAUCUUUUGAAAAGGAUUGUCACAUGACCACCACAACCACAGAGUGAUGUUACCCUGAUGAGAGCAAGAGUCCUCCUUGAUUGACACUGGACCUCACUGAAGAGGUGUUCUGGAAAGCUUUAGAAAGUGACGUCCCUGCUGAGUGACCAAACCAUGACCACUGAGUGUUUGCCGCUCCAGAACAAUGCAUGUGCAUACGUAAACGCUAUAAAAUUAGUGUGGACAGCUGGCCAAUCAUUAACUAACAGCAGCAACCGUCUUCAGAUAGCCCUCCAGGGAGUCUGCAGGAGGAAGCAGCCCUGGACCUCAGGAGGAAGAAGGUGAGGUGAAGAAGAAUGAGCUGUGUAGACGCCACCACACCUCUCGUCUUCCCUCCUCCCCACUCCAAAGGGAACAAACAAGAGAGCCAUCACACGACCCAUCUGUCUGCCAGGCAUACCCCCAAACCAGACGCCAAAUGAGCACUGGGCACACAAGGCUGUGCCCGGCGCAGGAUAAUUGUGCCAUAAAUAUAAUUAAAGUCAGCAGGAAGACCAUUAAGGAGAAAACCAAACUUUAAAAAAAAACUAGUACUAGUGAGGAAAAUAUCAUACAUUCUUUUUAUUUCAGCCUAAUUUUGUUUACAUGAUUCAUACAGUUUCCAAGCGCAUCCCUGGAGAACAUUAGGCUGGCACCACAUGCAUAAACAUUCAUAUAUAACAUGCAAAUUAGAAACAAUCUCAGGAUUUAUAUAGAAAUUACAGCCACUUCUAGCAAAUUAAUUCAAUGACAGAAAGAGGGUUACUGUCUCUAUUCAAAUCAAGAGGGGGAAAUAUUGGGCGAAGCAAAUUUAUUUAUUCAGGAGAUUCGUUCCCUUCCAGGGGCUGAUGUCCCUUUAGCCUGGAGAUUUCCAUUUUUUUAUUGGAUAUGUAUUGGUGAUUGAAUUUACUUUGAAUUCGGGACCAGUCAAUGAGGGCCAUAAUGGGCUGUUUUAAGUGAUAGCAUUGCUAAUAUUGUCAUAAAGCCGAUGAGGCCGGGAGGUUUUCUGUGGAGACAUGGCUGAAAGAAGAAAGUUUCUUGAGUUAAAAUAUUCAAGAUUAUUGAGUCAGAGAGCGGCAAGGCCCCAUGAGUGAGAGCUUACCAGUUUAUGGUCAAAGAGACUGUGCUCCAGAGAUGUGGCCUGACCAAGCCUAUAAAGAAAAUGAUUUCCAAAAGCAGACCAGAGCCUGGGUCUGCUCCGCCAGGCACUUCAUCAGCACACUCCUGGGUUUGACUGGAAAGGGAAGGUGACAUUCGAGUACAUUUUCAUAGAAAAUUUUCUUGGCAUCUUUUGAUGGUGAUGUUGCUGCUGGAGCCUCGGGUAGAUGGGCUGUCGGAACAAAGCCUUUCCCUUCAUCUUCUUCAUGUCUUUCUCACUGUGACUUUCUAGUCCUGGAAAUUGGGAAAGAACAGGCUGACUCACAUCAGCCAGCACAGCGCAGUGAUGGAGACUGAGCCCUGACCUGGUGCUGCUGAGCCUCCUUCACCCUGUUUUCUCUUGCUAGCUGUGGGAAGAAGCCCCGCCUGGCCUGCAGGAAGGAUGGGAGAGCAAGUAUUUGGAACAUACGUAUACCAGAAAUUAUCUGUUCUUUGUCCUAAAGUAACAGAAUCUUUUACUUCAUCUGUAAUUCAACACAUUGAAGAGAUCCCAGGUGUCACUGCUCAGUAUUAGCUGGCCAACCAGAAAACCAUGACAGGGCCUGGCCAAGAGCAUCCGAUCUAUGCCUGGACCAUGACUGACAGAUGCAUGAAGGAGUUCAGUGAAGAUCUAAGGGGGUAAUAAGUAUAGACUUCUUGCCUAGCACACACAAGGCUCUGGAGCUGAGGUGUAUCACACAUAUACACAUACACACAUGCAGAUACACACACACAUACACAUACACACAUAUACACGCUUGCGCGUGCAUACACACACACACACACACAAGGUUUUACUUGUGUUCUGGCAGAUGUUUGUAACACUUGUGUCCAGGAAGCUGAGGCAGGAAGAUUAUACAUUUGACGCCAGCCUAAACUACAUAGUGAGACCCUGUCUCAAACAAAACAAAACAAACAUUUUAAAAAGGAACCCAAUGGAGGCCAUUAUAAAUGCUCUUAGGCACAUGAACAAAAGUAAAUAUCUGCAGGCACAUGCCACAUGGUUUGUGUGUUUCUUUGUUUAAUGGUGAUUUUUGGUUUUGUUUUACUAUUGUUGUAGAUGGCUGGAACUCUCUAUGUAGACCAGGCCGGCCUCCAAUUCAUAGAUCUGUGCCUCCGUCUGCUGAGUGGUGGGACUAGGCAUAUACACCCCCGGCCAGGUGGUCAAAUAGUGUUUUGACAAUGGCUAACAUAAGGAUUGUCAACUUAAAAAGAGCCCAUCCCUCCCGCAGGCCAGCAGG